AAGUCGUAACAAGGUUUCCGUAGGUGAACCUGCGGAAGGAUCAUUAACACUUUUUAUUAUUUUGUUUUUUUUCUAAAACAAAAUUUAAAACCCCACAAUUUUGGAUGAAUUUAAUUUAUUUAUUUUUUAUUUUAUUUUUUUUAUUAUAACCCUAUUAUUUGACUAACAUUUUAUUUAAUUAUUAAAAAUUAAAAAAACAACUCUUAACAACGGAUAUCUUGGCUCUCGC
rnacentral:misc_RNA from 1 species